GCUGAAUCUUCCAAUAGCGUAAUAUUAUUAAAUAGAAAAAUUUCGAGACACACGACCAUAAAUUCUAUUAAAAUAGAAUUUAUUUUAAUAUUCGUCUAUAAUUUUUGAAAGUUACUACUUUUGGAAAAGGAAAUAUUUGAACGCUCUGACGUGAAAUCUUUCUAAAAAUGAUAAAAAUAUAACAUGUAGGAGAAAGUGGUUUAUACUCGGAGUGAAAUGGAAGCAGGGGUCAUUAUACAUACAAAUAAACAAUAUUUCAAAAAAUUCCUCAACAAUCCGAAACAAAUCCGAAUCAAAUGGUAGUUCAUAUCGAAGAAAAGUGAAAUAUCUUCAUCUAACAUAGAGGGAUUGAAAAUUUCGAAUCUAUUGAAUUUCAAAUAUUUCACACAAUAAGACUUUUCGUUUCUAAGUUAAGGCAAUAAAGAACUUUUUGGGAAUGCAAAAAUUUUUAAAAGUUUAUGAUAAAAAAGCAAAAUUAUAAGAAAACUUUUAAAGAAAAGCGAAAGUGAAAAAUUGUCUUCAGUAUAAGCGU